UACGUAGGCAGCAAGCGUUGUUCGGAAUUACUGGGCGUAAAGAGUGUGUAGGCGGUGUUCCAAGUCUGGUGUGAAAUCUCCCGGCUUAACUGGGAGGGUGCAUUAGGAACUGGAAUGCUAGAGGAUGGGAGAGGUAAGCGGAAUUCCUGGUGUAGCGGUGAAAUGCGUAGAUAUUAGGAAGAACACCAGUGGCGAAGGCGGCUCACUGGCCCGGUACUGACGCUGAGGCGCGAAAGCGUGGGGAGCAAACAGG
rnacentral:rRNA from 1 species